rnacentral:rRNA from 1 species
UGGGGAAUUUUGCACAAUGGGGGAAACCCUGAUGCAGCGACGCCGCGUGAGUUAGAAGGCCUUCGGGUUGUAAAAAUCCUUUCUAUGGGAAGAAAAUGACAGUACCAUAGGAAUAAGGACCGGCUAAUUACGUGCCAGCAGCCGCGGUAAUACGUAAGGUCCGAGCGUCGUCCGGAAUCAUUGGGCGUAAAGGGUACGUAGGCGGGUGAGCAAGUUAGAAGUGAAAUCCUAUAGCUCAACUAUAGUAAGCUUUUAAAACUGCUCAUCUUGAGGUAUGGAAGGUAAAGUGGAAUUCCUAGUGUAGCGGUGAAAUGCGCAGAUAUUAGGAGGACAACCGGUGGCGAGGGGGACUUUCUGGCCAAAACCUGACGCUGAGGUACGAAGGCGUAAGGAGCAGACAGG